GACGAACGCUGGCGGCGUGCCUAAUACAUGCAAGUAGAACGCUGAAGAGAGGAGCUUGCUCUUCUUGGAUGAGUUGCGAACGGGUGAGUAACGCGUAGGUAACCUGCCUGGUAGCGGGGGAUAACUAUUGGAAACGAUAGCUAAUACCGCAUAAAAUUGAUUAUUGCAUGAUAAUUAAUUGAAAGAUGCAACUGCAUCACUACCAGAUGGACCUGCGUUGUAUUAGCUAGUUGGUGAGGUAACGGCUCACCAAGGCGACGAUACAUAGCCGACCUGAGAGGGUGAUCGGCCACACUGGGACUGUGACACGGCCCAGACUCCUACGGGAGGCAGCAGUAGGGAAUCUUCGGCAAUAGGGGGAACCCUGACCGAGCAACGCCGCGUGAGUGAAGAAGGUUUUCGGAUCGUAAAGCUCUGUUGUAAGAGAAGAACGGGUGUGAGAGUGGAAAGUUCACACUGUGACGGUAUCUUACCAGAAAGGGACGGCUAACUACGUG
rnacentral:rRNA from 1 species